GGGUGGGUGCAGCCGUGCAGGGCGUCUUGCGGAUUUUUUAAGAUAUAUAGCAAAAUGAUUCUCUGAACCGCUGGUGCAGGCUACGACUUUUGUCGUCCAUGUUUUUCGAUCGCGAUUAUGAGUCGCGGUUUUAAUUGCAGGUUCGCUAGUACACAAAUGACAGAACCGCUUAUGCGGACUUGCCGUGGCUUUGUGAAGUCAUGACAUUGGGCGACUGCCCACUAGGUGUAUGUGCAAAUGCCUGAACGAAGCUGCACUUAUAUAUAUAUGCCGCCGGCGAGCUUACCUUAUAGCCUCGUUUGAGCUUGGUCAACUGCUUGGAGCAAUUCCUAUUUUCCUUUAAUAAGCUCUUAGGGACACAGCCACUCAUCACGUUCACCAUGUUUCUCCGGCGCAUCACAGCAACUUUUCCUUCUUCUAUAAGAUGUUUCAGCAGUAAUGGCGGCCAUGAUCUUACAGCUGCAAUUGCAGAACUCAAUAAGGAAAUGGAGUCGGUAUUCGGCGAAACUCCUCCGACUGACCUUUCUGGCUCUGUCAACUUGUCUGCUGCCCCAGAACCUCAGUUGAUUCCUCGGGGAACUGACGAAAAUGAACAACGCUUGACCCACAUUAGCAGAACAGGGGAAGCGCAAAUGGUGGAUGUUUCUUCCAAAGGCAUCAGCAAGAGAGUCGCCAUCGCUGGGUGCAAAGUUCUUCUGGGUUCUAAGAAGGUGUUUGAUUUGGUCUCUGAGAAUCAGGUGGCCAAAGGGGAUGUCCUCAGUGUGGCGAAGAUUGCAGGAAUUAGUGGAGCUAAGCAGACUAGCAACCUUAUCCCAUUGUGUCACAACAUCAGUCUGACUCAUGUCCGUGUGGACCUGACCCUGAAUGAGAAGGCUUUCAGUGUUGAGAUAGAAGGAGAAGCUGCUUCCACUGGGAAGACAGGGGUGGAGAUGGAAGCACUAACAGCUGUGACGAUUGCUGGUCUAACUGUGUAUGACAUGUGCAAGGCUGCUUCAAAGGACAUAGAGAUAACGGAUGUAAGGCUCCUGCACAAAAGUGGUGGCAAAAGUGGGAGCUGGUCCAGGAAGCAGUAAAGCUGUACACAGAGAAGAAGGAUAAAAUUCAAAGACCCAAUCACCCAAAGGAAGGAUAUAAAGAUAAACAACAGAGAAAACAUAAACUCCGAUUAGUGUGGUUUCUCAUUUCAUGCAGAUGUUUGUUCAGCGAGGUUAUCCUACUUAAUGACAACAAGAUGCACAUAAGACUAUAGGAGAAUUUGUGGGAUAAGUCUACAGCUGUUAGCCUAUUACUUUUUGGAUGAUUUAUGGCCCUAAUUCCAAAGUGCUAACCAAUUAGACAAUACUAAAUACCCGGUGAAUAUUUUAGUUGGGAUAAGGCUGAGUUGUUGUUAUUGGAGCUUUUAGUUCUGCAUCAUAUUGUCUACAUUAAAUGAUUAAGUUCCUUUCUUUGCUUGUUUGUUAUUGUCCCACCCAGCAGACACGGUUAACCGACUGAAUGGUUGAUGCUGGGAAAAAAAGAAGUUUGAUACAAUAUCCAGAAACUAGCAUAUGCAACAUGAUUCAAUUAGAAUAGUUUUCCAUUUGAUUAAAAGAUUGAUCAAAGCCAAACUACUAGGGGAUAAAUAGUAAGGAUCAAAGGUAUGCAUUUUCUUACCUCAACAUUCGAUUCUCUCUGUCCAAUGCAUCAAUUCGAUAUACCACAACAGAUUUCCACCAUUCGAGCUCAUUAAUUCCCUUUUCCUAACCAUUUGGAAGAAAAAAAAAUC